rnacentral:misc_RNA from 1 species
GGUUGGAUCAUUAAAAUACCCCUCUCCCGGGUCUCGUCAAUCCGGGGGGAGACUAAGCGACUCGGUCGAUCUAAGCUCGACUCGAUCUCUCUCUCGCUCGCGAGGGGGGGUCGAGGAAAGCGAGGCGAGACCGGGAAGCUUGGUCUAUAAACUCAACCUAAUCGUGAUAUAUAAAACGCAUAGUGUAUACCUUAAAACCCGAACUACUCGGUCGAUCCGAGGCGAGAAAAGGGGAGGGCAACUUGUAGGGGGGAAUAAUCGAGUGCAUGCGAGAUAUCUCUUCCCGAGAAGAAACCCGAACCUUCGAUCGUCGAGGCGAGACCAAAGAGCGAGAGCGAUCUCUCUCUAUAAACUCUAAAACAACCUUAGUCAGCGGAUGUCUCGGUUACCCCUUCGAUGAAGAGCACGGCAAAAUGUGAUAAUUAUCGUGAAUUGCAAAACCAGCGAAUCAUCGAGUUCUUGAACGCACUGCGCCUUCUGGCCUCGGCCGGUCGGCAUACCACUUUCAGCGGCUUGCAAUAACUGCCACUCGUGGCGAGUGAUCUAAGUAGGGGAAACCCUACCCCGAUCUAAGUCUAGCGAUAGCUUUCUCCGGGUCCUAAGGGGCACCGAGUCUCUCUCUCCGCCUUCAAGGCGAGGAGAAGACGAGGCGUCUCCCUUCUCUAAGAGUCACACCAGUGUGGCCGAGAGGAGAGAGGACCCGAUAGGGGGCUAUCCUAAGUGCGGGGGUGAACGGAGGGAGAGAGAGCACGUCGGGUGCACCCUCUCUUAACGUUCGCUCUACGCUAGUGAAAUCGAUCUAGUAAUUCUAAUUCCACCGGUCUCUCCUUCUCGUUCGACGAAGGGGGUCUCACGCUUUGUAAGAGCCGUGGGUAGGGGGUCUCAGGAACGUCGUGUUUUUUAACACCUUCGAAGGUCUAGCUUCCCCCAGGGGGGGGGUCGCGAAACCCGAGAAUACACACUCGACAGUGAACGAGACCUUCGAUCCAAGGACACCUAUUACCCAUACCACACAAAGCGAGGGGUCUCUUAGACGAGCGAGGAGGAGAGAGAGCCGAGGGAAGGACGAGUAAACGAGAGUUUUUGCGCUCGCAUUGCCUGAGAGUGGUAAGACCACCCGGAGGAUUUAAGCAUAUCAAUAUCCGGAGGAAAAGAAACUAACGAGGAUUCCCCUAGUAACUGCGAGUGAAGAGGGAUGAGCUCAAGCCUAAAUCUACCAGGCUUCGGCCUGGUCGAAUUGUAGUUUUGUGAGUGAGGUCUCGGUCGGGGGAUAGAAGUGAAUUCAUCUGGAAAGGUGAACCGUAGAGGGUGAUAGUCCGUAACUUCUUUCCUUCGGCCAUCAGAGACCCGACUCCUAGAGUCGUACACCUUGAGAUUGGUGUGCAAAAUGGGUGGUAAACUCCAUCUAAAGCUAAAUAUUGGGGGGUAAUCCGAUAGUGCAAAAGUAGCGUGAGCGAAAGAUGCAAAGAACUCUGGAGAGAGAGUUAAAAGUACCUGAAACUGACUAAGGGAAGCGAUCGGUCGUAGCCACACGGGGAGUCUAGUCCAAGUUGAGUUCGUCUAGGUGGGGGAAAGAUUAGGGGACGAAAGUCCUCGGUCCUACUCCACCGAAAGCGAGGUCGAUGGCAAGCUAGGUGACCCGGUCAAUAAGGACUGGUAUCAUAGUCUAAGAAACCACUUCGGGGGAAGCCGUUUGUCAGGCGGUGGAUCCCGAGGUGACUAUUAGGCUUGGCCGGUCCUAGCAUUAAGCUCAUCCUAGAGGCCGCAAGGCGAGACAGAUUUCGACGUCGGGUCUCUCGGGUCGGGUACUACUUGUAGUGCCCGGUCCGGGGGGUCCUUCAUAGGGGUCGAGUCUCUCUCUAGGGGGUAUUGAUCGUGCGAGAUUGAUUGUCCCGUCUUGAAACACGGACCAAGGAGUUUAUCGGUGUGCCGAGUCUAAGAGCGUGGAAAACUCUUAGGCGAAGCGAAAGCAUAGGGAACCUAUCUAGCUUCGGCUGGCCGCAGUUCCGUUCUCUCUUCGGGUUUACUCGAUGAGGGAAAAGGAGGUGCACCGAUAAGACCCGAAAGAAGGUGAACUUUACCUGUAUAGGUUGAAGCCGAAAGAAAUUUCGGUGGAGGAUCGUAGCGAUACUGACGUGCAAAUCGUUCGUCGAAUAUGGGCAAAGCGGCGAAAGACUAAUCGAAUCUUCUAGUAGCUGGUUCCUUU